rnacentral:rRNA from 1 species
CGAGUGGCGAACGGGUGAGUAAUAUAUCGGAACGUACCCGGAAAUGGGGGAUAACGUAGCGAAAGUUACGCUAAUACCGCAUAUGCCCUGAGGGGGAAAGCGGGGGAUUCGUAAGAACCUCGCGUUUUCGGAGCGGCCGAUAUCGGAUUAGCUAGUAGGUGAGGUAAAGGCUCACCUAGGCGACGAUCCGUAGCUGGUCUGAGAGGACGACCAGCCACACUGGAACUGAGACACGGUCCAG